AUCCUGUUGAUCCUAGCAGUCAGUCAUACUUGCUUGUUCUCAAAAGAUAAGGAUUAAGCCAUGCAUGUCUAAUGUACAACACCUUUAAUAACGGUGAAACCCGCGAAGGCUCAUUAAAUUCAGCUAUGGUUCCUUAGCAUCGUCUCAUCCUACUCGGAUAACUGUGGAAAAUCUAGAGCUAAUACGCUUGCUUACAAGCCCUGACCUCACGGGAGCGGGCGCAUUUAUUAGAUCAAAACCAAUCGGGGCUUGCCCCGUCUGCUUGGGUGACUCUGGAUAACUUUUGUGUGCUGAUCGCAUGGCCUCUGCGCCUGGCGACGUAUCUUUUCAAGUGUCUGCCCUAAUCAACUUACGAUGGUAGGUGAUAUGCCUACCAUUGGUUAUAACGGCGUAACGGGGAAUCAGGGUUCGAUUCCGAGAGAGGGAAGCCUGAGAGAAACGGCUACCACAUCUAAGAAGGCAGCAAGGCGGCUGCGCAAAAUUUACCACUCCGGCACGGGGAGGUAGUGACGAAAAAUAACGAUACGCGGGACUCUUUUGAGGCCCCGUAAUUGGAAUGAGUACACUUUAAAUCCGUUAAACAAGUAUUCUAUUGGUAGAGGGUCAAGUCUGGUGGGGCGCAGCAGCCGCGGUAAUUCCAGCUCAAUAGCGCUAAUAUAUUAAUGUUGCUGCAGUUAAAAAGCUCGUAGUUGGAUCUGAGGACUCGAAUUGGUGGUGGUGCACCAUACGGUGUUACUGCCGAUUCGGCCUUACCUAGUCGGUGCUCGCUCCUUGGUGUUCUUAAAUUGAAUGCCCUGAGAGCCUGCCCCGCAAAGUUUACUUUGAAAAAAUUAACAGAUGUGCUCAAAGCAGCCAUUAGCAGGAAUACUUCAGCAUGGAAUAAUGGAAUAGGACUUCGGUUCUAUUUUGUUGGUUUUCGGAACCCGACCGAGGUAAUGAUUAAGAGAGACAGACGGGGCAUUCGUUACUGCGGUCGUUUAGAGCGUGAAAUUCUUGCGGCGAUCGCCGCAAGACGAACAACUGGGAACGAAAAGCAUUGCCAAGAAUGUUUUCAUUAAUCAAGAACGAAAGUCAGAGGUUCGAAGACGAUCAGAUAUCCGUCCUAGUUCUGACCAUAAACUGAUGCCAAACGAUGGCCGAUCCGAGAUCGUUUGCUUAUUGACCUCUCGCGGCGCAGCCUCGGCGGGAAACAAAGUUUUUAGGGUUCCGGGGGAAAGUAUGGUUGCCAUAAGUCUGGAAACUGUUUCAAUUGCAAACUCUGCCUGUGACACCAAGU
rnacentral:ncRNA from 1 species